UACAGAGGUCCCAAGCGUUGUUCGGAUUCACUGGGCGUAAAGAGCGUGUAGGCGGCCACUUAAGUCCUGCGUGAAAUCUUGCGGCUCAACCGCAAGCGGUCGUGGGAAACUGGGUGGCUAGAGUGCGGGAGAGGAGAGUGGAAUUCCUGGUGUAGCGGUGAAAUGCGUAGAGAUCGGGAGGAACACCAGUGGCGAAGGCGGCCUUCUGGACCAAUACUGACGCUCAUGCACGAAAGCGUGGGGAGCAAACAGG
rnacentral:rRNA from 1 species